AGAGUUGAUCAUGGCUCAGAACGAACGCUGGUGGCGUGUCUUAUACAUGCAAGUCGAGCGAGGCAGCAAUGCCGAGCGGCGAACGGGUGAGUAACGCGUAAGCAAUCUGCCCCAUAUCAGGGAAAUACCCGUGCCAACGCGCGGUUAAUGUCCAGGAGAGUGGCCAGCUGCAUGGCUGGUUGACUAGAGAUUUAUCGGUAUGGGAUGAGCUUGCGUCCGAUUAGCUAGUUGGCGGGGCAACGGCCCACCAAGGCGACGAUCGGUAGCCGGCCUGAGAGGGUGAUCGGCCACAUUGGGACUGAGAUACGGCCCAGACUCCUACGGGAGGCAGCAGUAGGGAAUAUUGCACAAUGGGGGAAACCCUGAUGCAGCAACGCCACGUGUGGGAAGAAGCAUUUCGGUGUGUAAACCACUGUCAUGAGGGAAUAAGGCCCGCCUUCGGACGGGAUUGAAUGUACCUUGAGAGGAAGCACCGGCAAACUUCGUGCCAGCCGCCGC
rnacentral:rRNA from 1 species